UACAGUAAAAAAGGUCAUGGGAAACGAUCGAUAUGAGGUGACGGAUAUAAAAGGUACUGAAAGAAGCCUUAAAAAGUACACUGGCAUAACAGCCGUCGAAAACAUGAAACCAUGGAUAAAAAUCAAUAAUUGGAGUGAUUAACACUACUUAUCUAUUAAUAAUAACCCGUGUUGGCAAGCAUUUUAUCUAGACCUGAAGUGCCUGGGGCAGGCACCGCGCAGAAUGGCCGUGUUGGCAAUCGCAAUUAUUUAUUGCGAUAUCCGGUGGGAAGUGACGUCAUUGCCGCCGAAAAAUCAAGAUGCAGCCGGAAGUUGUCGUAACUCGCUGUAGAUGGCGCCACCCGGCGUAGAUGGCGUGACUCGUCGUAGAUGGCGCCACUGCGGCGCUCGGGCGAGUUAAUAAAAGAAGCUACGCAGUCGACGGAGCGCCACUACGUUUUCGUACCUCGAAGUGUAAACUUGAAUAGUCGGACGGAGUUAUUUUGAUCAUAUUUUGAGUGUAACUUUUGUAAUUAUUUUAAAGUUAAAUAUAUUUAGUUCAGUGAA